UUUGACCAGACAUAUUUCUCAAUACGGAAAAAAUAAACCAACGCAAUUGAAAACAAAGUAGAUAUAGAAAUUGAAAUCCACCUCUUGCAAGGUUUUAACUUUUUCAUGAUUAUUUUCACUAGAUAUGUCUAUUUUGGAAAAGUUGUGCCAUUUUUUAAUAGAAAAUAAAUUCAACUUGGGUUGUGUAAGGGAGGAUCUAAUUAGUUUAAAUAAAGAUAUUGCAACUCAGUUUUGUCAUCAUUAAUGGAAAAAAGGAGACCUAUACCCUACUUUUAUCAGUUUUUCUAUGUUUGAAGAGAUUCAAGAGAAGCAUAUUGAAAAAAAAUUCCCCUUCUUCCUGAUUAGAUCAUGACCUGGUUGCACUGUAUUACUAUAAUAUUAUUCCUACGGCACAUUACCAAGUCAUAAUUCUCAAUCUUCAAUCAUAAACUCCAUCAACAAAUAAAAACAUUGUUUUAAAACACUACUGUCUUCACUCCACAGACAACCCACCUUAACGACUUUGCAACACAUUCAUUACAUAUUACUAUUGGACAAAGCAGUGAUAUUUACCAUCGGCAUACUAAAUAUUACUUGACAUUCAUGCAUUAUUCAUUGCGGGGGCUACUGAUUGAUGUAAUGGUAAAGGCAUGGUUUCACAAGUGCAGCAGUACAGUUUUAAGUUCUAGAAAAGCCAUUUUUGGCAAAAAAAAAAGGGCCAAAGAUUAGGUUUAUCCCCAGUCUACCCUUCCCAGGACCCCCAUUGUCAGGACCAUAAUUGGGUAAUGGCCUUCUUUAUGCAUUAUUUAUUGGAAAAUAACUUCUUAGAUUUCUCUUUAAAUUUAUUAUUAUUGCGCAAUUUGACCCCUGGUACACACCUAGUGUCCCCUACUACCUAUUAAUCCAUACAAUCUUAUAAUACAAUACAUAUAAGGAGAUUUAUUACCUUUUGACCCUUCACAACAACAUCAAUAUCCCUUAUCCCUAAGUAUUUAUAGCUACCUAA
rnacentral:lncRNA from 1 species